GAUUAACUGCAUAGAAUAUAAUAACUCCUUCCACCGAGCCACGCCUCAGAAAUUAACUAGUCACCCGAUAUGGCGAUAUUCGGAAGAAAUUCUCCUGCAGAAGUCAUCCUCUCAAUAAUUUUUGAAGGAGUAAUACGCAAAGGUAUACGAGACUAACCGAAGGCAAAAGCAAUUCCAAUUUCUGGGAAGUAUUGCAGAGGAUCCGUAUUGAACGAUAUCUGGAUUCUAAUUACGUCCAAAGAAGAUAUAUGGAUUUCAACUAAGCCCAAUGUGAUCAUUAAACAUUUGACAUCCAAAAUGAUACACUCUUCAAUUGGUACUUCCUGUUCUUCCUCACAUCCGACGAUUCGUUCUACUUGGCUAGUAGAAAUGUCCGAAAGUCAACGAGCGUAGGAAAUGGAAACGUUUACCUCUUCAGACUUAUAUUUAAAUGAUAUUUUAUCAUGGCGACUAGAAUAUUUCUAUUGAUGAACAUUAUUCGAGCAUAUUGAAGCAGAAGAGUGUUUCAAGAGGCAGUUGAAAAUUCUAACAAAGGAAGGAACAUCGUUAGCUAUUGUUCAUGUAUGCAUUAUGUGAUUGUGAAUACCUUGGAAGAGGAAAAAGAAGAAAAUACUUACUUGCUUGACGACGAAGUUUCGAAAGAUCAAUAUGGCGCUGUUUUAUAAAGCUUGGAAGCCUGGUACGGGGAAAUGGGAAGGAUCUUUCUUCUUCAAAGCAUCUAACCGUGAGCUGCUUCAGUUGGAGGGUAUAAGCGAUUGUGCUCAAAAAGAUUUGUCGAUGAGCCGUCCGACGUUCCACGUGGGGCAAGGAUCACAGGGGAAUUAAAAUGAAACUGAGGGACGUUUAUCAUACAAAAUAAUUGAACAGACAGGGACGAUCAAAAGAUUCAUCUUUUUUCAAAGUAAUACCAUUAGUAGGGGAAUACUUUUAAAUUACACGUGAAAUAGAAUGCCCACGUCACGUCAUUGUUGUUCCAUCGAUUUAAAUUAAAUAACCAUUCGAUAUAAUUAAAAAGGUAAAAGUAUUGAAUUCUAUAUUUCAAUCUGUUUGCCGAAAUAUUCACGACAUAUACAUAAAAAAUAUUCGUAAUAUUUAAUUAGAGUUUUUCUUGAAUAUUCAUAUUUGGAUGAAAUAAUUUGAUGCGUAACGUUAAUUACCCAUUUAGUAUCUUAUGAAAGGAAUUUCGUGAUAGUGGAUGUCCGUAAUACGUUCUCCCAUAUUUAUCCUCAAGUACCUUCGUUUAAACCUUUCUCCAUUAUCUCUCUCCAUGUACGUGUGCUCUGGUGCGCGUCUAUCGGCAUCGGAUCGAGUGGCUUGCAUUGAGUGUGCGUGUGUACGUAGAACUCCUGCCUUAUUUUGAUAAUAAGGAAGGUAUUUUUUCAUUUGUUUUCCUGUCAUCAAACCAAGCAAACAAUAGGAGAUUGGCUGUAUAAUUCAAUAACCUAUUUAGAUUCAUUGUUUGAUAACAAGCUUACUUAUUUUGCAGAACAAUAGCCUAUUUUCUUAGGAACCAAUUGAUUUGGAACCUUAUAUAGGAAAUAUUAGAUAAUUAGAAGUGUAAUGGUAUUAUUGUUUUGCAUUCUCCAAUAGGGAGUAACUUUCCGGAACAAUUUAUCCGUUCAUAUGGAAGAAUCAUAUCAGCCGUGGUAUAUCGAUCCGCAAAAGACAAAUGAAAUCAUACAGCUAAAUAGAUAAUUGAAUUAUACCGCUAAUCGUAUUAUCGCAUUGUCUGCUUGGUUUGAUGAGGGGAGAACUAAUGAAAAAAUACCAUCCUUGUUUUCAAAAUAAGUGAGGAGAUGUACGCAAACACGCGCACUCAUUUCCGUCCACUUGACUGGAACACGUAAACGCGCAUGUGCACGGAGAGAGGUAGUAAUAAAUCGUUCAAUAUGAAAGUGCUGAAUGAUAGGUAGGAGAGAACGUAUUCCUCAACGAGCAAAUCGUUAAAUGCCGAUCAAUACCCCUUAACAAGGGAAUUUGUAGUCAUGCAGAAUCAUAUAUUUUUGCAGAAAAAUCACAAUUUUGUCCAUUAUAAUUUUCCAUGAUGUCUGUGAUAAAUGUUGAAUCUAUUCUUUUCCAACAUUAUCAUCCCUCGCAUUAUGCGUGAGGUCUUUCCGUUUUUUUGUUAAAUGUAAUGACUAUCACUCCUAUCGUUUUCUUCCCGAUUAAUAUUUUUUUUUCUAAGAUGUCUGUAUUAAUGUUUGUCUUGAAGCCAAAAUUCUCCUUCGAUAUUACUUAUGGCACGAAACUUACUCGUGUUUGGAAAUUUUGCCAUUCUCUUAAUGAAAAAGAAAUGAGUAAGUAAACAGGUUGGAAGACUGAAAUUGUAUAUUACGAAAUCACGAAACGAUAUAUACCAAAGAAAUAUUACGUUUCUGAUUUUUUGGCUUAUUAGUGUAGGGAACUAUCUGUUUCACUAGAAAUUUCAAUACGACACGAGUUCUGCUUCGCAAAUCUCCCCUCAGUUUCAUGAUUGCUUGUUUACUCCAUCAAAUAUCAUUGCAUGGUACGAAGCGUACUCGCGUACGAUUGCAGACAAGUCAUUAUCGCUCUCUUUAAGUGGUUUAUAGAUGCCCUCAGACCGUUGUGAACGUACUUCUUUUUCAUAAAAUCGACUGACAUUCUUUUCGUAUAACUUGGUAAUUUGCCCAUUUCUUGAUUAACUAACUGAGUGGUUCUCACGAAGGGGAAAUACGGGAAAGAGGGGAAGGUAAUAUUAAGAAACCAUAAAUGUGACGAAAGAUUUUCUCCGAAUUCGUUUUUUAUUAUUAUGGAAUAGCGAAAAUGCUAUCUUCGAUAACUUGAGCAAUAUGCAUUUGUUUACAAGAAAAGGAAAUAAUAUUUGGAGAAAAUGUUUUCAUGCAAUAUGGCAGUAGAUAUAACUUCCGACGAAAAAAUUUUUUAAGAGAGAUGAUUUUACUAUAAGAAUUAUAUAGUAUAUACGUAGUACGAAAAUUGAUAGUGAUAUCAUUAUGAAUAAUAGAAUACUGAUAAUAGAAUACUAUUAAGCAUAAGUCAGACUUACGAGAAAAAUAACAGUGUGAAUUUCCUAUAUUAAUAUCCGAUUAACUUCAUAAGAAUUAGUCUUCAUAAUUACAAUAAUUAUUAUUAUAAUAAUUAAUUAUAUUAUAAAUAAUUAGUUUUAUGUGAUUAUUUCAAUUAAAAAAUAGGCGAAUUAUUGUAAGAUUCUCAUUAGGAAAUUCCAUGA